rnacentral:rRNA from 1 species
GAUGAACGCUAGCUACAGGCUUAACACAUGCAAGUCGAGGGGCAUCAGGAAGAAAGCUUGCUUUCUUUGCUGGCGACCGGCGCACGGGUGAGUAACACGUAUCCAACCUGCCCUUUACUCGGGGAUAGCCUUUCGAAAGAAAGAUUAAUACCCGAUAGUAUAAUGAUUCCGCAUGGUUUCAUUAUUAAAGGAUUCCGGUAAAGGAUGGGGAUGCGUUCCAUUAGGUUGUUGGUGAGGUAACGGCUCACCAAGCCUUCGAUGGAUAGGGGUUCUGAGAGGAAGGUCCCCCACAUUGGAACUGAGACACGGUCCAAACUCCUACGGGAGGCAGCAGUGAGGAAUAUUGGUCAAUGGGCGAGAGCCUGAACCAGCCAAGUAGCGUGAAGGAUGACUGCCCUAUGGGUUGUAAACUUCUUUUAUAAAGGAAUAAAGUCGGGUAUGGAUACCCGUUUGCAUGUACUUUAUGAAUAAGGAUCGGCUAACUCCGUG